UACGAAGGGGGCUAGCGUUGCUCGGAAUUACUGGGCGUAAAGCGCACGUAGGCGGUCUUUUAAGUCGGGGGUGAAAUCCUGGAGCUCAACUCCAGAACUGCCUUCGAUACUGGAAGACUUGAGUCCGGGAGAGGUGAGUGGAACUGCGAGUGUAGAGGUGAAAUUCGUAGAUAUUCGCAAGAACACCAGUGGCGAAGGCGGCUCACUGGCCCGGUACUGACGCUGAGGCGCGAAAGCGUGGGGAGCAAACAGG
rnacentral:rRNA from 1 species